rnacentral:piRNA from 1 species
UCCGCUGGUUUCUCUUAGGCUUGAGUGC